UUCAUUCUAUUUUUCCUAAAUCCAAAUUAACUGAUAUUAGGGCAGUAAUAUUAUAAAUAAUAGGAACAUUCAACAGGUUAUUGGCCAUUAUUGUUCCUCAGAUAAUAAAAUUAGUGUCUUACCGAAACAGUUCCGUGAUUCAAUUGGAUAAAGUUUACCGAACGUCAACAGUGCAACCGCGCCGCGUAGGAUUUCUACUUUUUCAGCUUUUUCAGCACAAUCAAAAAUCAUGGCCUCACAAAUUUCUAUCGGAACUAUAGAAAAGCUGAUGGGCCGAGAAAAUUACCCUACGUGGAAAUUUGCAAUAAAAAACUACUUGGAACAUGAGGACCUAUGGGAAACAAUAGAACCGGGUGCCGACUAUAAAUAUGACAGUAAGAAGGAUGUAAGAGCCAGGUCCAAAAUAAUCCUUUUGAUAGACCCUAUCAACUAUGUCCAUGUGCAGGAGGCAACUACAGCAAAGCAGAGUCCUUGGAUAAAACUAGAUGGUACAUCGACUCGGGAGCAUCGCAGCAUAUGUGCAGAGAGAGAAAAUGAAUGUAUGAUGUGUCUCCUUCAACAGUAAGCAGUAUAAAGGUAGCAGAUAAUAAAACCGUGGCAGUAGAAGGGUGUGGUAGUGUGAAUUUGCAGAUAAGGGACUCCAAAGGCAGACCUCAAACAAUUCAAGUAAGAAAUGUGCUGUAUGUACCUUCCUUGACAACCAAUCUUCUCUCUGUAAGUCAGAUGACAAAAAAUGGAUGUGAAGUUAUAUUUGAGAAAAAAUAUUGCAGAAUUUACCAAAAUAAGAGAUUGAUUUUGUCAGCUUUACAACAUAACAAUAUGUAUAUGUUGAAAGAUAUUUCAGAAACAUCUGCAUUAUUGUCAACAGUAAAUGAGAAUGAUAUUAAUUUGUGGCAUCAGAGGAUGGGCCAUCUCAACUUCACUGACUUACAGAAAAUGGGAACGUGUACUGAAGGAGUAGAAUUUGAUAAAAAAGAUUCUCAGAUUUGCACAACAUGUAUUGAAGGUAAAAUGACUAGACUGCCUUUUAAGAAUAUUGGUACUAGAGCAUGUGAACCUCUCCAAUUAAUCCACACUGACCUUUGUGGCCCGAUGGAGACCAGCUCUUUAGGAGGGGCCAAGUACUAUGUCUCCUUUAUAGAUGACUAUAGUAGAAAAGUAUAUGUCUAUUUUAUGAAAAACAAAUCUGAUACAUUAGAGAAGUUUAAGCAAUUCAAGAACUUAGUAGAAAAUGAGACUGAUAAAAGAAUAAAAGUAUUAAGAUCAGACAACGGCAAAGAAUAUAUAAACAAAGAAUUUGAAUUGUUUUUAGAGAAAUUUAGCAUUCAACAUCAGACCACCAAUCCGUACACUCCGGAACAGAACGGAUUAGCGGAGCGAAUGAAUCGCACCCUUGUAGAAAGAGCUAAAUGUUUGAUCCUGAAUUCCAGAUUGGAGAAAUCAUUUUGGGCGGAAGCAGUGUCUACAGCUGCUUACUUAAUAAAUCGAUCACCAACCAAGGCCCUGGACUACAUGACGCCAUAUGAAAAGUGGUCUGGUAAGAAGCCAAACAUUAGUAAUUUGAGAAUUUUUGGAUGUGAUGCCAUGGUACAUGUGCCUAAAGAAAAAAGGCAAAAAUGGGAUUCCAAGGCUAUCAGAAUGCUGUUCGUUGGCUAUUGUGAGUACACAAAAGGAUACAGAUUUUAUGACAAUGAUAAGAAACAAAUAUAUAUAGCCUGACCAGGAACAUAAAAACCCUCGCCAUGUUGCGGAAAAUUAAUGGUACUAAUUUAUUUUAAUGGCAACAGUAACUGAAAACUUCAUUGAUAUGUCACCUUGCAUGUCAGUCUAUUGCUGUCAAAGUGUAAACAAACUUUAUUUUAAAUGUGCGCAAUUGAUUUUGUGAAUUAAAUUGCUAAAAUAUUUUUAUAGUCGUGAAAGAAAAGUGGUUCACAAUGUGUUAAAGUAUUUGUCGAAGAGAAAUACUAAGGGUUCGGACAAUAUUUUCAUUGAAUAAUGUUUCCGACAAAGGUUGUCAAAUUGACUGACAUGUUUAUCGUAUAGUACAGUCAACUAUGAAAAUUAGCUGUGGUUUGUUUCAACUACCUAUUUUAAAGUUUUUUGUCACUUUGUAAGUAUUGAAUUUUAUGGAAUUGGGAAAGAAGUACCGAGUUUGAAGCGUUCAUGAGCAGACAUUGUAGUUGAAUAUUCAAGUUCAGAAUUUGAUUAUUGAUGAAUAAUAAUAAAAUCCUACUUGCUCGA